UAAGUGAAGAGUUUGAUCAUGGCUCCGGGUGAACGCUGGCGGCAGGCCUAACACAUGCAAGUCGAACGGUGACGGAAGCAGCUUGCUGCUUCGCUGAAGCAGUGGCGGACGGGUGGUAUGUCGCAGGAAACUGCACUGAUGGAGGGAUAACUACUGGAAGCGGUGGCUAAUACCGCAUAACGUCGCAAGACCAAGGGGGACCUUCGGGCCUCUUGCCAUCAGAUGUGCCCGGAAAUGGGAUUAAGCUUGUUGGUGAGGUAACGGCUCGCAAGGCGACGAUCUAGCUGGUCUGAGAGGAUGACCGGCCACACUUUCAGAACUGAGACACAGUCCGAACUCCUACGGGAAGGCAGCGUGGGGAAUAUUGCACAAUGAGCGCGCAAGCCUGAUGCAGCCAUACCGCGUGUAUGAAGAAGGCCUUCCGGGUUGUAAGUACUUUCGGCGGGGGAGGAAGUGUUGUGGUUAACCGCAGCAGUGACGUUACCCGCAGAAGAAGCGCAACUCCGUGCCAGCAGCCGCAGUAGUAAUACGGAGGGUGCGAGCGUUAAUCGGGGUACUGGGCGUAAAAGCACGCAGCGGUCUGUUGUCAAGUCGGAUGUGAAAUCCCCGGGCUCCAACACAGGAACUGCAUUCGAAACUGGCGGCUUGAGUGCUGGCAGAGGGGGUAGAAUUCCGGAGUGUUAGCGGUGAAAUGCGUAGAGAUCUGGAGGAAUACCGGUGGCGAAAGCGGCUGGACGGAACUGACGCUCGGAGUGCGAAAAGCGUGGGGGCAAACAGGAUUAGAUACCACCGGUGGUCCACGCCGUAAACGUGUCUACUUGGAGGUUGUGCCCCGCCGAGGCGUGGCUUCCGGAGCUAACGCGUUAAAGGCGGAGCCGCACGGAGUACGGCCGCAAGGUUAAAACUCAAAUAGUGACGGGGGCCCGCGCAAGCGGUGGAGCAUAAUGGUUUUGGUCGAUGCCAGCGCGAAGAACCUUGCAGUUUGACAUCCACGGGAAGUUUUCAGAGAUGAAAUGUGCCUUCAGGAACCGUGAAGAGACAGGUGCUGCAUGGCUGUCGUCGCUCGUGUUGUGAAAUGUUGGGUUAAGUCCCGCAACGAGCACCGCCCUUAUCGCUGUUGCCAGCGAUGCGGCCACACGGGAACUCAAAGGGGGCUGCCAGUGAUAAACUGGAGGAAGGUGGGGAUGACGUCAAGUCAUCAUAGCCCCACUUGACGGGGCUGCGAUGCGUGGCGCAUACAAAGAAGGCUUUGACACUCGCGAGCAAGCGGACCUCAUAAAGUGCGUCGUAGUCCCGGUUGAGUCUGCAACUCGACUCCCAUGAAGUCGGAAUCGCUAGUAUCGGAUCGAGGAUACCGCAUUGAAUACGUUCCCGGGCCUUGUACACACCGCCCGUCACUACACCAUGGGGAGUGGGUUGCAAAAAGUAGGUAGCUUAACCUUCGGGAGGCGCUUACCACUUUGUGAUUCAUGACUGGGGUGAGUCGUAACAAGGUAACCGUAGGGGAACCACUGCGGUUGGAUCACCUCCUUA
rnacentral:rRNA from 1 species